AAAGUGCGAUAAGUGGUGCCCUGUGCACGAACUGAGCGCUUAAUCUUCGAAUACACAUUGUUCUGUCUAGCGAUAAGCUGUCAGAGCAUCUGCUUCAGGGUUGUUAUUUUUAACUUCACUCUCUUGAGCAAGUUCCUUCACUGUCAUGUUGGUUCAUCUUGAAUAGAAGAUGUUCCGACGUAACGCAUCACUGGCACAUCGUCAUCAAACUCUCGACCCUGUCACCACAGUUCUCUGGAGGUUGACGCUUGUGGUUGUUUGGUUUUGGCGUGUAUGCUAGAUUUUGAAUGCAACCUGAAGUCAGGUGUGGCUACCCGCUGAACUUAA
rnacentral:misc_RNA from 1 species